rnacentral:rRNA from 1 species
UCCUACGGGAGGCAGCAGUGGGGAAUAUUGCACAAUGGGCGGAAGCCUGAUGCAGCAACGCCGCGUGCGGGAUGACGGCCUUCGGGUUGUAAACCGCUUUCGCCUGUGACGAAGUGUGAGUGACGGUAAUGGGUAAAGAAGCACCGGCUAACUACGUGCCAGCAGCCGCGGUGAUACGUAGGGUGCGAGCGUUGUCCGGAUUUAUUGGGCGUAAAGGGCUCGUAGGUGGUUGAUCGCGUCGGAAGUGUAAUCUUGGGGCUUAACCCUGAGCGUGCUUUCGAUACGGGUUGACUUGAGGAAGGUAGGGGAGAAUGGAAUUCCUGGUGGAGCGGUGGAAUGCGCAGAUAUCAGGAGGAACACCAGUGGCGAAGGCGGUUCUCUGGGCCUUUCCUGACGCUGAGGAGCGAAAGCGUGGGGAGCGAACAGGCUUAGAUACCCUGGUAGUCCACGCUGUAAACGGUGGGUACUAGGUGUGGGGUCCAUUCCACGGGUUCCGCGCCGUAGCUAACGCUUUAAGUACCCCGCCUGGGGAGUACGGCCGCAAGGCUAAAACUCAAAGGAAUUGACGGGGCCCCGCACAAGCGGCGGAGCAUGCGGAUUAAUUCGAUGCAACGCGUAGAACCUUACCUGGGUUCGACAUGGAUCGGGAGUGCUCAGAGAUGGGUGUGCCUCUUUUGGGGUCGGUUCACAGGUGGUGCAUGGCUGUCGUCAGCUCGUGUCGUGAGAUGUUGGGUUAAGUCCCGCAACGAGCGCAACCCUUGUUCACUGUUGCCAGCACGUUAUGGUGGGGACUCAGUGGAGACCGCCGGGGUCAACUCGGAGGAAGGUGGGGAUGACGUCAAGUCAUCAUGCCCCUUAUGUCCAGGGCUUCACGCAUGCUACAAUGGCUGGUACAGAGAGUGGCGAGCCUGUGAGGGUGAGCGAAUCUCGGAAAGCCGGUCUCAGUUCGGAUUGGGGUCUGCAACUCGACCUCAUGAAGUCGGAGUCGCUAGUAAUCGCAGAUCAGCAACGCUGCGGUGAAUACGUUCCCGGGCCUUGUACACACCGC